rnacentral:rRNA from 1 species
AUUGAACGCUGGCGGAAUGCUUUACACAUGCAAGUCGGGCGGCAGCACGGGGGCAACCCUGGUGGCGAGCGGCGAACGGGUGAGUAACACAUCGGAACAUGCCCAGUCGUGGGGGAUAACACUUCGAAAGAAGUGCUAAUACCGCAUACGUCCUGAGGGAGAAAGCGGGGGAUCGCAAGACCUCGCGCGAUUGGAGUGGCCGAUGUCAGAUUAGCUAGUUGGUGGGGUAAAGGCCUACCAAGGCAACGAUCUGUAGCUGGUCUGAGAGGAUGAUCAGCCACACUGGGACUGAGACACGGCCCAGACUCCUACGGGAGGCAGCAGUGGGGAAUUUUUGACAAUGGGGGCAACCCUGAUCCAGCCAUUCCGCGUGAGUGAAGAAGGCCUUCGGGUUGUAAAGCUCUUUCGGCAGGAACGAAACGGUGAGCUCUAACAUAGCUUGCUAAUGACGGUACCUGAAAAAGAAGCACCGGCUAACUACGUG